rnacentral:rRNA from 1 species
UGGGGAAUAUUGCACAAUGGAGGGAACUCUGAUGCAGCGACGCCGCGUGAACGAAGAAGGCUUUCGAGUCGUAAAGUUCUUUUAUAUGGGAAGAUAAUGACGGUACCAUAAGAAAAAGCCCCGGCUAACUACGUGCCAGCAGCCGCGGUAAUACGUAGGGGGCUAGCGUUGUCCGGAAUCACUGGGCGUAAAGGGUUCGCAGGCGGAAAUGCAAGUCAGGUGUAAAAGGCAGUAGCUUAACUACUGUAAGCAUUUGAAACUGCAUAUCUUGAGAAGAGUAGAGGUAAGUGGAAUUUUUAGUGUAGCGGUGAAAUGCGUAGAUAUUAAAAAGAAUACCGGUGGCGAAGGCGGCUUACUGGGCUCAUUCUGACGCUGAGGAACGAAAGCGUGGGUAGCAAAGAGG